rnacentral:rRNA from 1 species
GUGCCAGCCGCCGCGGUAAUACGGAGGAUGCAAGCGUUAUCCGGAAUGAUUGGGCGUAAAGCGUCCGCAGGUGGCGAUGUAAGUCUGCUGUUAAAGAGUGAGGCUCAACCUCAUAAGAGCAGUGGAAACUACAUAGCUAGAGUACGUUCGGGGCAGAGGGAAUUCCUGGUGUAGCGGUGAAAUGCGUAGAGAUCAGGAAGAACACCAGUGGCGAAGGCGCUCUGCUAGGCCGUAACAGACACUGAGGGACGAAAGCUAGGGGAGCGAAUGGGAUUAGAUACCCCAGUAGUCCUAGCCGUAAACGAUGGAUACUAGGCGUGGCUUGUAUCGACCCGAGCCGUGCCGUAGCUAACGCGUUAAGUAUCCCGCCUGGGGAGUACGCCGGCAACGGUGAAACUCAAAGGAAUUGACGGGGGCCCGCACAAGCGGUGGAGUAUGUGGUUUAAUUCGAUGCAACGCGAAGAACCUUACCAAGGCUUGACAUGUCGCGUAUCUUCUUGAAAGGGAAGAGUGCCUUCGGGAGCGCGAACACAGGUGGUGCAUGGCUGUCGUCAGCUCGUGUCGUGAGAUGUUGGGUUAAGUCCCGCAACGAGCGCAACCCUCGUUUUUAGUUGCCAGCAUUAAGUUGGGCACUCUAGAGAGGCUGCCGGUGACAAACCGGAGGAAGGUGGGGAUGACGUCAAGUCAGCAUGCCCCUUACGCCUUGGGCUACACACGUACUACAAUGCUCCGGACAGAGGGCAGCAAGCAUGCGAAUGCAAGCAAAUCCCGUAAACCGGAGCUCAGUUCAGAUCGCAGGCUGCAACUCGCCUGCGUGAAGGAGGAAUCGCUAGUAAUUGCAGGUCAGCAUACUGCAGUGAAUUCGUUCCCGGGCCUCGUACACACCGCCCGUCACACCAUGGAAGCUGGUAGUGCCCGAAGUCAUUACUCCAACCUUUCGGGGGGGAGGAUGCCUAAGGCAGGACUGGUGACUGGGGUGAAGUCGUAACAAGGUAACC